rnacentral:tRNA from 1 species
AAGGAAGCACAGAAAACAAUAAGCACUGCUAAUUCUUAUUCCCAAGGUUAAACUCCUUGGCUCCCUUG